rnacentral:rRNA from 1 species
GACGAACGCUGGCGGCGUGCCUAAUACAUGCAAGUAGAACGCUGAAGGAGGAGCUUGCUUCUCUGGAUGAGUUGCGAACGGGUGAGUAACGCGUAGGUAACCUGCCUGGUAGCGGGGGAUAACUAUUGGAAACGAUAGCUAAUACCGCAUAAGAGUAGAUGUCGCAUGACAUUUGCUUAAAAGGUGCAAUUGCAUCACUACCAGAUGGACCUGCGUUGUAUUAGCUAGUUGGUGAGGUAACGGCUCACCAAGGCAACGCUACAUAACCGACCUGCUAGGGUGAUCAGCCACAUUGGGACGGAGACACGGCCCAGACUUGUACGGGAGGCAGCAGUAUGGGAGCUUCGGCGAUGGACUGAAAGCUGACCGAGCAACGCCGCGUGAGUGAAGAAGGUUUUCGGAUCGUAAAGCUCGGUUGUAAGAGAAGAACGGGUUUGAGAGUGGAAAGUGCACGCUGUGACGGUAUCUUACCAGAAAGGGACGGCUAACUACGUG